rfam:Oryza glumipatula chromosome 7, whole genome shotgun sequence.
AAAAAGGCAAACCAUGGAUUCUCGUGCCAACGUUUGACUGUCCGUUUUAUAUGAAAUUUUUUUAUAGUUAGUAUUUUCAUUGUUGUUAGAUGAUAAAACAUGAUUAAUAUUUUAUGCGUGACUUAUCUUUUUAAUUUUUUUUCAUAAUUCUUUCAAAUAAGACGGACGGUCAAACGUUGGAUACGGAAACCAGAGUUUGUCUUUUUU